AUUUUGAGUUUACUUUUGUGUAUGGUGUUAGGAAGUGUUCUAAUUUCAUUCUUUUACAUGUGGCUGUCCAAUUUGCCCAGCACAACUUAUUGAAGGGGCUGUCUUUUUUCCAUUGUAUAUUCUUGCCUCCUUUGUUAUAGAUUGUAGGUACGUGGGUUUAAUUCUGGGCUCUCUAUCCUAUUCCACUGAUCUAUAUUUCUGUUUUUUGUGCCAGUACCAUAGAGUUUUGAUGACUGUCACUUUGUGGUAUAGUCUGAAGUCAGGGACCCUGAUUCCUCCAGCUACAUUUUUCUUUCUCAGGAUGGAUUUGGCUAUUCUGGGUCUUUUGUGCUUCCAAACAAACUUUAAGAUAUUUUGUUCUAGUUCUGCGAAAAAAUGCCCUUGGCAUUGAAUCUGUAGAUUGCCUUGGGUAGUAUAGUCAUUUUGAUAAUAUUACUCUUCCAACCCAAGAGCAUGGUAUGUCUUCCCAUCUGUUUGCAUCAUCUUUGAUUUCUUUCAUCAGUGUCUUAUAGUUUUUAGAAUACAGGUCUUUUGUCUCUUUAGGUAGGUUUAUUCCUAAGUAUUCUUUUUUGAUGCGAUGGUACAUGGUAUUAUUUCCCUAAUUUCUCUUUCUGAUCUUUUGUUGUUAGUAUUUAGAAAUGCCAUCAAUUUCUGUGUAUUAAUUUUGUAUCCUGAGACUUUGCCAAAUUCAUUGAUGUGCUUUAACAGUUUUCUGGUAGCAACUUUAAGAUUUUCUAGGUAUAGUAUCAUGUCAUCUGAAAAUAGUGAUAGUUUUGCUUCUUCCUUUCCAAUUUGGAUUCCUUUUAUUUUUUUUCUUCUCUGAUUGCCAUGGCUAGGACUUCCAAAACUAUGUUGAAUAGUUGUGGCAAGAGCGGAUAUCUUUGUCUUGCUCCUGAUCUCAGCGGGAAUUCUUUCAGCUUUUCACCAUUGAGAAUGAUGUUAGCUCUGUGUUUGUCAUAUAUGGCCUUUAUUAUGUUGAGGUAGAUUCCCACUAUGCCCACUUUCUGAAGGGUUUUUUAUCAGAAAUGGGUGUUGGAUUUUUUUAAAGACUUUUUCUGCAUCUAUUGAGAGGGUCAUAUGGUUUUUAUUCUUCAGUUUGUUAAUGUGGUAUAUUACACUGAUUGAUUUGCAGAUAUUAAAGAAUCCUUGCAUCCCUGGGAUAAAUCCCACUUGAUCAUGAUGUACAAUCCUCUUGGUGUAUUGUUGGAUUCAGUUUGGUAGUAUUUUGUUGAGGAUUUUUGCAUCUAUGUUCAUCAGUAAAAUUGGCCUUUAAUUUUAUGUGUGUGUGUGCUAUCUUUGUCUGGUUUUGGUAUCAGGGUGACAGCAGCUUCAUAGAAUGAGUUUGGGAAUGUCCCUUCCCCUGGGAUCUUUUGGAAUAGUUUCAGAAGGAGAGGUGUUAGCUCUUCUCUAAAUGUUUGAUAGGCAACCAUCUGCAUGUGUUGCAGAACUUGCUGCUGGUGAAUCGAAACUAGAGAAUUAAUGUUGAGCUAAAUGUACAUGCAGGGAGAAAGAACAAGCUAAAGAAAAUCCUCUUGGCUGUUUUCCACAGUUGGUGGUGACUGAUGGAAAAAUCCCUGCCAGUCAGUGGGGAGUGGCUGCCAGCUGGCAUAGCAAAGGAUCUGAGAGCACAGUGGUCCAAUAGGAAAAGGAUUCCUAAAGUUUCUGCUUUCUGGGAGUGUGUGUGUGUGUGUGUGUGUGUGUGUGUGUGUGUAAGACAGUGAAAGUAACUUCUAAAAAAGGAGAGGCAAAGGGAACAGACAAAGAAGGUAAUUCAAAACUAAGAAAGCAGAGGAUCAAUAGUAAAAAUGGAGGCCAAAAAAGAUAAGAAAAUUAAUCGGAGAAAUGAAUAGGAUACACAUAGGAAAAGAGUGAUAAGGGAGACAAAUCUACUCUGGCUCAAGUGGCAGAAGGAAAAGUUCAGUCUGUGAAUGGGGUCAGCAAAGCCAUCUCUUCCAGCUUGUUUGAGAACCAGCUAUGCUGGGACCCAAGUGCAAGUGUUUACUCUGCAAGUUUACGCUAAGUUUAUUUGUCAGUCCUGAUCUUGUGUGAAUUAGGAAAUAAAAUGCUUGACCUUGCCCCUCCCCUUCCUCUUGUGGAUGAAAGCCAAGGCUCAGGAACCCUCUCCAUCAACAGCCCCUCAUGGGGCCUGUCCUAUCCAACACCUCCACUAGGGGUCCCACUAGUCUUAUCCCCACAAACCAUGCUUUCCUGCAGAUAGCACAGCCUCCUGCAUGCUCUUCUCGGCUUGUGCUCCACAGAUGAAUAUUACCAGAGAAAUGUCUCAUUCUUACUCAAGAGGCACUUGCGUUUUUUUUUUAAUUGAAAUUUUGUUGACAUACAUUAUCUGUACAUCAGGUGUACUACAUAAUAAUUUGACAUUAUGCAGGUAUUUUUAUCUUCCAAAUGCUACUGUGCUAAUAUUCUGUGCUAAUGAGACCAGGUUACACACAACUUCAGGUUGUUCUUUCCAAACCAGGCAAUGUGCGGUUGGACAGAUUUUCCAUAUAAACAUGCCCUGUCUUUUGUUAUCCAAGCCAAGGUUGCUGCUCUAACCAUGAACAUCAAAUCUAGUCAAAAUGAAGUUCCAUAGAAUAUGGGAGAGAGAAGUCUUGGUCUUUGUCACAAUAGGGUCUAAUACAUUGCCAUCUCUCUUCCCAAAUACACUUCAUCUGGUGUGGGUAAUAUAAUCUACCCAAGCAUUAGAAUAUUCAUCUGAGUGGGGUAUUUUUAUAACAACAGAGAAUUAUGAACAGGCCAUUAAAGGUCUGAGUUUGCAGGUCUCCUCUGUCAUGUACAUCCUGGUGCAUAACUUAAUUUUAAAAUGGGAGAAAAAGAAAAAUUAUUGCUAGCAUUAUGAUGUUGGAUAAGGUUUAUAAUAGCAAUAAUCCCCCAUGAAAACAGUUGUUAUCAUAGUUAAUGCCCAUUUUGUCACUGUGUUAACCUUCCCUGGCUCUGCCUCGGGCCAUUAAAUGGCCAACCAUUUGUUAAGCACCCUAGAGCAAGCAAUUUCAGGAGGAAUGUUGCUGAGCUCAUUUGCUAAGUAAAACACCUGAGAAGACAGUGAUAAACUCUGCAUAGGUUCACAUAUACACAUGCAUCCUUAUACAUACUUAACCCAGGUCCUUUUUAAAAGAAUAUUCUGCGUUACAAUUCCUUGGUAUCAUGCUUACUAAGACAGGCUAUGCCAAAUUUGGGAUCUCAGAUUGUUGCCCUAACUAUUCCCUGCCAUUCUUUCCCAGGUCCAGCUGGUAUCAAUAUUUAAAGUGUUUUACAAUUUUAACUCUGGCCCUAAAGAAUAGACCAGCCCUUUAAAAUGUUCAAAGGGCAUAAAUAAAAAACAAAAUUAAAAUAAUGUUGCUUGAAAGCAAGAGAAAAACAGGAAAAUGAAGGGAUAAGAUAUGUCUAACAUCUGGGAAUAUCUAUCCCUCAAAUCAACACAGCUUUGCUAAUUUAUUCAGAUAAUUAGAUGUAUUCAAUGCUUUAUACAUAUUAACUCUUCUAACUGUUACACAUUCUUUACAAAGUCAAUAUUAUUAAUAGUCCCAACUGAUGGGUGAAGAAACAGAAUUUGAACCCGGGUUGUUUGACUUCAGAUCCAAGCUUUUCGCUACCAUGAUAUAACAUACCAAUCUCCGUUUCAAAACAAACAGGCAAGAUUUCGAAAAAUACUGGCUCCUCUCAUUUGCAUUAUGCGUCAGUUCUGUACCAAACAAGAUGAUGGUUACUGGUUACUAAUAUUUGUUAAGAUCAACUAUUUAUUAUGGUCCAGGGAGGAUCAUUCAAAUAAAUCAUGUCCAAGUAUGAGCUGGGUUUCAAAGUCACAGCAAAACAGAACUCCAUGGCCUACAUACUGAUCAAGGGUAUUGUAGUAGAUUUUAUUAAAAUCUGUUUAUUCUUUAUUAGAUGACUUUCUGAUAGGUUACCAUGGAACCUCAAUUGGCCCAGAAUUAUAAAUUUUUAAUUUUGUACAGGGUUUACCUAAUUAGUUAAAGGUAGUUGCAUCUCUCUUCAACUACUUUCCUUCAGGAAAAAAGCUAUUUCAACCCUAUCUCACUUAAGUGAAGAAUACAGGUACGUUAUGUAAGUUUUGACAUAAUUAGCCACUUCAUUAAUGAAAUAAUUGAACUUCCUUAAUCAAAGGUAGAACUUCUUACUUAAAGCUUAGCUUGAAGAAUCAAAUGGGCAUAACAGUAGGAGGUACAAAGAUUGGUUUGGAGACAGGAAAAAAAAUUAAUGAGGGAGAGAUCUUUUCUCAUUAAACUACUAAUUCUGUAAGGCUAUAUUCUAUUUUUAAUUUUUACUUCCCAUCAUCAUUUUCACCACAGUUAAUAUUGUUAACUGCUAAUAUCAGAUGAGUACCAUACAUAAUGCAUGCAAGACAAUCUCAAAGGACUAGCAGAAGAAUUGUAGACUGUUUGCCGGGAUUAUGGUUAGUCCUUGAUUUCUUGUAUUGACAGAGAGAAGCCUGAAAGCAAAUUCUAUGAAUUCAGGGAUAAGCCUAGACUCUCCAUUAGGCAUUGUCCUCAACUGUUUUAGCACCCUAAUAUUUUCAGACUAGGGGGGCUCAAUUAGGAUAGAAAGCAAUAGAAGUACUGUACUUGAUUUUUCCCCCAAACACCUAAAAUUUACACAAGAACUGGUUUCUGGCUAUGAGCAAAUCUCAAGCACACUCUUAGGCAAGCACUUAAAAUGUACUAAUAGUCUGGUGGUAGAAGUAGGAAGGUGGUUCAUUAGCAUAUGCUUAUCAAUUAUCUGCAUAAAUAGCUCUUUUUAUCACUUCGUUGUCCAGGCUUUUUCUCACUUGGUAGCUGGCAGAAAGCCAUUGCAAUCUAGGUGUUGCUCAGAUUACAGAGUUUCCCACCUCUGCAUUCCUUAGUGUUCUGUAGUACGGAAGGGUUAAAGAGCAAAAAAACCACAAACAGAUGUCAAGUGUAAUGAUAAGUAAAACUGGUGCACUAGAGUUCUGCAAGUUUAGUAGCGUAACCAUACACCAGUAACCCAUUAGACAAGUAUGAUGAUGUAAUUUAUUCAUCCAUGCUAACUUUUAGUGACUAUGUCAAGAUGCGUUGUAAGAUGUCUACAAAUAAUGUGAUCUAAAAGCUUGCAAACAAAUAUUUCAUAGGUUAGAACAGAUCCCUUUAAUAAUGUCAUGAUCACUUUAUGUUAUAAUUUCUUUUCUUUGAGUGGGAAAGUAGUAGAAAGCCUUGAUGUGCAAAAUUGUGUCAAAUUCUUGGUUUAUUCUUCAAAAUGCAUCCUAUGCUUUGGUGCCUUGCCAUCUGUCUUGUCCAGCCAGACUAAACAAUGUCAACAUUUGCCUGAAGAAGGAAGGACCCAAGGAGAGGAGCUCGGAUGUGUUGGGAGGGCCUGAUAGAAGCCUGACACCAUAGACAACCUAGCCCAGAGUCAGGCCUUUCCAUGGAUGUGCAGAGAGGAUUUCUCUUCUUUGUCCCUUCAUUGUUUCUCUUGAAUAUUUACUCUAGGAUGUUACUUUGGGGUGAAAUAUCUUCAUCGUGACAGUGCAAAUAAAAAGUGGCAAAGUCUGAAUUAAAACUAAACUCUGGGCCUAUGUGUGCACAUAAAAGAGAUGAAUAUUACCUAGGGUGAUCACAUCCUGAAAGGAAGGUGGCCAGUUUCCCCAGGGAGGGAUUAAUCCUCCUUAGAUUCUCUGGGGCUUGUAGCCUGUGAGAAAGACAGAGUCUGAGAGCAAGUACAGCACCAGUGGAUCCUCUAGGCACCAGCCUAAUGCAGGCAGGCCCAGAGUCUUGGGAGAAUGGGUUUGUGUAGCAUCUCCACUUCUCACAGGAAGGAAGGCUACCAGGGGCUGUGGUCUUCCUCUCUGUGCUGGGAGUCAGCAGAGGGGCUUUUGGCUUGAGCAUAUGGGCACCUUGCUCUGGUCCUCUCGUUCUUUUGGUGACCGCCCCACUGCAUGCAACCUUUCCACACAACCUUCUUGUAACACUCUGGGUUUUAGAGUUUUUGAAAUUAUACUUUAAUAAAUAGAAGCCUAGAGUAGUCCCUGCUAGUGCUUGCCCCUUUGUCCUUACCCUUCUUAUUAAAUUCUCAGUUGCUUAGAGUAAAAGAAGUAGCAUCGGUGUGGAAAACUAGAAACCUUGAACGGCAGUCCCAAUGGGCUCCAGACUUCGGUUUCCCCAGCAAUAGUAGCCAAGCUGCACGAACAGCACCUCUCUUUCCUUGCAGCUCAUUUAAACACACAUACAUGUAUAUUAUGUGCAUAUAUGUACACAUAUGUAUGUAUACACAUACAUGUGACUUGUGUGAUAAUACUUAAUACCUUGAUAGACUUAUAAUUUUAUUUUUACUGGUGCCCUAAAUUACAAUAAGACACUACAAUUUGUACCCAAGUCUCUCUAACUCUAAAGACAAAGCUCUUUCUUUCAGCAUACUACCUUC
rnacentral:lncRNA from 1 species